UACGUAGGGUGCAAGCGUUAAUCGGAAUUACUGGGCGUAAAGCGUGCGCAGGCGGUUUUGUAAGUCUGUCGUGAAAUCCCCGGGCUCAACCUGGGAAUUGCGAUGGAGACUGCAAGGCUAGAAUCUGGCAGAGGGGGUAGAAUUCCACGUGUAGCAGUGAAAUGCGUAGAGAUGUGGAGGAACACCGAUGGCGAAGGCAGCCCCUGGGUCAAGAUUGACGCUCAUGAC
rnacentral:rRNA from 1 species